UAAGCAUAUCAAUAAGCGGAGGAAAAGAAACUAACAAGGAUUCCCCUAGUAACUGCGAGUGAAGCGGGAAAAGCUCAAAUUUAAAAUCUGGCGGUCUUUGGCCGUCCGAGUUGUAGUCUGGAGAAGUGCUUUCCGCGCUGGACCGUGUACAAGUCUCUUGGAACAGAGCGUCAUAGAGGGUGAGAAUCCCGUCUUUGAUACGGACUACCGGUGCUUUGUGAUGCGCUCUCAAAGAGUCGAGUUGUUUGGGAAUGCAGCUCAAAAUGGGUGGUAAAUUCCAUCUAAAGCUAAAUAUUGGCGAGAGACCGAUAGCGAACAAGUACCGUGAGGGAAAGAUGAAAAGCACUUUGGAAAGAGAGUUAAACAGUACGUGAAAUUGCUGAAAGGGAAACGCUUGAAGUCAGUCGCGUUGGCCAGGACUCAGCCUUGCUUUUGCUUGGUGCAUUUUCUGGUUGACGGGCCAGCAUCGAUUUUGAYCGCUGGAAAAAGGCUGGAGGAAUGUGGCACCCUCGGGUGUGUUAUAGCCUUCAGUCACAUACGGCGGUUGGGAUCGAGGAUCGCAGCACGCCUUUAUGGCCGGGGUUCGCCCACGUUCGUGCUUAGGAUGCUGGCGUAAUGGCUUUAAACGACCCGUCUUGAAACACGGACCAAGGAGUCUAACAUGCCUGCGAGUGUUUGGGUGGAAAACCCGAGYGCGUAAUGAAAGUGAAAGUUGAGAUCCYUGUCGYGGGGAGCAUCGACGCCCGGACCUGAACUUUGGUGAUGGAUCUGCGGUAGAGCAUGUAUGUUGGGACCCGAAAGAUGGUGAACUAUGCCUGAAUAGGGUGAAGCCAGAGGAAACUCUGGUGGAGGCUCGUAGCGAUUCUGACGUGCAAAUCGAUCGUCAAAUUUGGGUAUAGGGGCGAAAGACUAAUCGAACCAUCUAGUAGCUGGUUCCUGCCG
rnacentral:rRNA from 1 species